CACGCAGGUGGCUGAGUCAGUCGAUUGUGAAAGCCCUGGGCUUAACCUGGGAAUUGCAGUCGAUACUACUCGGCUUGAGUAUGGGAGAGGGCAGUGGAAUUCUCGGUGUAGCGGUGAAACGCGUAGAUAUCGAGAGGAACAUCAGUGGCGAAGGCGGCUGCCUGGCCCAAUACUGACACUCAGGUGCGACAGCGUGGGGGAGCAAACA
rnacentral:rRNA from 1 species